rnacentral:rRNA from 1 species
CGAACGGGUGAGUAACACGUGGGUAACCUACCUCUUAGCAGGGGAUAACAUUUGGAAACAAAUGCUAAUACCGUAUAAUAUCAACAACCGCAUGGUUGUUGAUUGAAAGAUGGUUCUGCUAUCACUAAGAGAUGGACCCGCGGUGCAUUAGCUAGUUGGUAAGGUAAUGGCUUACCAAGGCGAUGAUGCAUAGCCGAGUUGAGAGACUGAUCGGCCACAAUGGGACUGAGACACGGCCCAUACUCCUACGGGAGGCAGCAGUAGGGAAUCUUCCACAAUGGGCGCAAGCCUGAUGGAGCAACGCCGCGUGUGUGAUGAAGGGUUUCGGCUCGUAAAACACUGUUAUAAGAGAAGAACGGCACUGAGAGUAACUGUUCAGUGUGUGACGGUAUCUUACCAGAAAGGAACGGCUAAAUACGUGCCAGCAGCCGCGGUAAUACGUAUGUUCCAAGCGUUAUCCGGAUUUAUUGGGCGUAAAGCGAGCGCAGACGGUUAUUUAAGUCUGAAGUGAAAGCCCUCAGCUCAACUGAGGAAUUGCUUUGGAAACUGGAUGAACUUGAGUGCAGUAGAGGAAAGUGGAACUCCAUGUGUAGCGGUGAAAUGCGUAGAUAUAUGGAAGAACACCAGUGGCGAAGGCGGCUUUCUGGACUGUAACUGACGUUGAGGCUCGAAAGUGUGGG